UGCUGGCCACACUAUUCCUGAUACAAGCCAGGAUAACAUUGGCUUUCUGGGCCACCUAGGCACACUGCUAGCUAAUGCUACAGCUACCUGGCAUUCCCA